rnacentral:miRNA from 1 species
ACUCCCUCACUAACGCCCCGCU